rfam:Myotis lucifugus cont2.44175, whole genome shotgun sequence.
GGUGGUUCUCGGGUGACACACCCCAGAAUUGGACUCCCUCCUCUCUGAUUCCAGGUGCGUCACCCAAGAACCGCA